rnacentral:rRNA from 1 species
UACGAAGGGGGCUAGCGUUGUUCGGAAUUACUGGGCGUAAAGGGCGCGUAGGCGGCUCGGCAAGUUGGAUGUGAAAGCCCAGGGCUCAACCCUGGAAUUGCAUUCAAGACUGCCUUGCUUGAAUUCGGUAGAGGUUGGUGGAAUUCCCAGUGUAGAGGUGAAACUCGUAGAGAUUGGGAAGAACACCGGUGGCGAAGGCGGCCAACUGGACCGACAUUGACGCUGAGGCGCGAAAGCGUGGGGAUCAAACAGG